AGCGAGGAAACGCAAAGCUCACGAGGUAGACGUUCAAGACAUUAAAAGGGCUUACGAGCUGUUCUUUGAUGAAGGCAGAUCUGUGCAGUUUUUGAGGGAGUACCAACAGGAGUUCAUGUUCAAUGAUUUGGAUGACAAAGAUGAUAUGGAAAUCGAAACAAAUUAGUUUUUAAUAUUAAUUAUGGUGUUUCUAUACUUGCUGUACUUGUUCAAGAUUCCAUUAAAGUAUUUUUUAUUCUC